rnacentral:lncRNA from 1 species
UGCCUCCCACGCCCCGGUGCCCCCCGUUCCCCCCCACCUGGGACGUGGCGCUCUGCGAACUUGACGCUGAGGCGGUAGCUGCCCGGCUCGGUGGGGCAGUAGGACACCUUGCAGGUCCCGUCCUCGGCGUCCUCGCAGUGGAUGUCCACCUUGCUGGGCCCCUCCACCGACAGCCCCAGCCCGCCGUACCCUGCGCCCGGGGGGGGAAAGAGACGGCCCAUGGACCCCCCCGCCGCAGCCCGGCCGCGGGGCUACCGUUACGGGGGGGUGGUGGCCGUGGCUGCCGGCUCGGCCGGCUUGGUGAUGCUCGGGGGGCCUGCGGAUCACGUGUUGGCUAUGGCAUCAUGUGGCCACCAUCAUGGCCACCAUCCCAUCCCAUGUUGGCUAUGGACAUCACGUGGCCACCAUCGUGGCCACCAUCCCAUCCCAUAUUGGCUAUGGACAUCAUGUGGCCACCAUCGUGGCCACCAUCCCAUCCCAUAUUGGCUAUGGCCACCAUCAUGGCCACCAUCCCAUCCCAUAUUGGCUAUGGCCACCAUCAUGGCCACCAUCCCAUCCCAUGUUGGCUAUGGCCACCAUCAUGGCCACCAUCCCACCGUGUUGGCUAUGCACAUCAUGUGGCCACCAUCAUGGCCACCAUUCCAUACUGGCUAUGGCCAUCACAUGGCCACCAGCAUGGCCACCAUCCCAUGUUGGUUAUGGCCAUCAUAUGGCCACCAUCACAGCCACCAUCCCAUCCCAUGUUGGCUAUGGUCAUCACGUGGCCACCAUCAUAAUCACCAUCCCAUUCCGUGUUGGCUAUGGCCACCAUCAUGGCCACCAUUCCAUCCCAUGUUGGCUAUGGCCAUCACAUGGCCACCAUCCCACCCUGUGUUGGCUAUGGCCAUCAAGUGGCCAUCAUCACAGCCACCAUCCCAUCCUAUGUUGGCUAUGGCCAUCACAUGGCCACCAUUCAUGGCCACCAUCCCAUGUUGGUUAUGGCCAUCACAUGGCCACCAUCAUGGCUACCAUUCCACGUUAGCUAUGGCCACCAUCAUGGCCACCAUCCCAUCCCAUGUUGGCUAUGGCCACCAUCACAGCCACCAUCCCAUCCUAUGUUGGCUAUGGCCACCAUUAUGGCCACCAUCCCAUCCCAUGUUGGUUAUGGCUAUCACAUGGCCACCAUCAAGCCACCACCAUGGCCACCAUCCCAUUCCAUGUUGGCUAUGGCCACUAUCAUGGCAACCGUCCCACCCUGUGUUGGCUUUGGCCAUCACGUGGACACAGUCACCAUCAUGGCCACCAUCAUGGCCACCAACAUGACCACCCCGAUGGCCACCAUCUGCUCCCAUGUUGACCAUGACCACAACACAGCCCUGGCUGCCACCCCAUCC